ACAGCUCCUUCUCCUCAAAUUUAUGGAAUCAUAAGAAGAAGAAAUUCUCUUUAUGAAAGGAUUUUUAUCUACCAUUACAGAAAUAAACAACAUUUCCCAUUUUUCUACUGGAUUCUUCAAGCCUAUGUAGCAGAUCUCAGAGACAAGUUGACUAAAUUGAAACUGGCCAGUCAGGAAUCAGCCCUAAUCCUGAUAGCUCACCUGCAAUGAAAGGAUCAUAAUUUCUGAGAAGAAUCGUGAGAUUGAUUGGUUUGUCAGCCUUCUGGAUUGAAUCAGGAGACCAGCCAAAACAGCUUCCUAGCUAAUCUAAAGAGUGGAAGAAAGCAAGGACUGAAAACAUGGCUUCACCAGCAGAUCCCAUCCUGAUACAGAACCCAUCAAGUGAUGCCUGAAUGUUGUCACCAAGGAAGUAGGAACAUAGUGAAUUUUGUAUUUGGACUUUUAAUUUGUAAGCCAAUCACCAUGAGUGAGGUGGGCAACAAUAUAAAUUUCAUAAAUAAAUAAAUAAGUGCUCUGUACUGAA